CCUACGGGAGGCAGCAGUGGGGAAUAUUGCACAAUGGGGGAAACCCUGAUGCAGCGACGCCGCGUGAGUGAAGAAGUAUUUCGGUACGUAAAGCUCUAUCAGCAGGGAAGAAAAUGACGGUACCUGACUAAGAAGCCCCGGCUAACUACGUGCCAGCAGCCGCGGUAAUACGUAGGGGGCAAGCGUUAUCCGGAUUUACUGGGUGUAAAGGGAUCUGAGACGGCAGCGCAAGUCUGGAGUGAAAUCCCAUGGCUUAACCAUGGAACUGCUUUGGAAACUGUGCAGCUAGAGUGCAGGAGAGGUAAGCGGAAUUCCUAGUGUAGCGGUGAAAUGCGUAGAUAUUAGGAGGAACACCAGUGGCGAAGGCGGCUUACUGGACUGUAACUGACGUUGAGGCUCGAAAGCGUGGGGAGCAAACAGGAUUAGAUACCCCGGUAGUC
rnacentral:rRNA from 1 species